CCGGGGAGCCGGGCAGCCGCGUCCUUCGACAAGCUCAGGAUGAGCGAGGCGAGGGCCGAGGAAAGUCCGGGCUCCACGAAACAAGGGUGGCGGGUAACGCCCGCCGGGCGAGGGGGGCUUUCAGGCCUUCCGAAGCUUAGGGAAAGUGCCACAGAGAGCAGACCGCCAACCCCGCUCAUCCUGAGCUUGUCGAAGGAUCGAACGGGGAGGUAAGGGUGAAAGGGUGCGGUAAGAGCGCACCGCGCUGCCGGUAACGGUAAGCGGCAAGGUAAACCCCACCCGGAGCAAGACCGAAUAGGGGCUGCGCGCUGGCGCUGCGAAAGCAGGAGAUCGGCGGGUUCGUUUCGAACCCAGGCAGCCCGGGUUGGUCGCUUGAGCGGCGUAGCAAUACGCCGCCUAGAGGAAUGGCUGCCACCGCGGCGUAAGGUCCCCCGGACUUUGGUUCUAUGGGGAGACCACGCCAGGAACAGAACCCGGCUUACAGGCUCCCCGGCGCA
rnacentral:RNase_P_RNA from 1 species